rnacentral:rRNA from 1 species
AUUGAACGCUGGCGGCAUGCCUUACACAUGCCAGUCGAACGGUAACGGGCCUUCGGGUGCCGACGAGUGGCGAACGGGUGAGUAAUACAUCGGAACGUGCCCGAUCGUGGGGGAUAACGAGGCGAAAGCUUUGCUAAUACCGCAUACGAUCUACGGAUGAAAGCAGGGGACCGCAAGGCCUUGCGCGGACGGAGCGGCCGAUGGCAGAUUAGGUAGUUGGUGGGAUAAAAGCUUACCAAGCCGACGAUCUGUAGCUGGUCUGAGAGGAUGAUCAGCCACACUGGGACUGAGACACGGCCCAGACUCCUACGGGAGGCAGCAGUGGGGAAUUUUGGACGAUGGGCGCAAGCCUGAUCCAGCCAUGCCGCGUGCAGGAUGAAGGCCUUCGGGUUGUAAACUGCUUUUGUACGGAACGAAAAGCCUUCUUUUAAUACAGGAGGGUCAUGACGGUACCGUAAGAAUAAGCACCGGCUAACUACGUG